rnacentral:rRNA from 1 species
ACAUGCCUACAACAUAGCGUUAAUGCAUUGGAUCUCAUUAGAACUCCGUAGUGAAGCACGCUCAGGCUAGAGUAGUACUUGGAUGGGUGACCACCCGAGAAGUACUAGAAUUUUACAUGCC